rnacentral:piRNA from 1 species
UAGCAGAAUGCAGUUCAGAAAGCUGG